AGUUUGAUGUUAGAAAAGAUAAAGAACACCUGUAUUUAGACCUUGAGUUUAUAUACACUGAUAACCAUCUGAUAUUCCUACUAAGCUUAGACAUUUGUUAUAGCAUAUAAAGUUUAAAAAUAAAAACUGGAAGGUUUCGUAGGACGUUCAUGGUUAGAGUCGGAGUAAUCUCGGACUAAUUGACGCGUCAAGUGGUUGUGCGUUUGUGUGUAGAAAAUCCAUGUCACGAAAGCUUGAAAAAAUAAGCUAACAUACAUUUACUACUCGUUUCUGAUUUGCAUUAUUAUUAUUUAAUUUUGUAAGGGAUGUUUUUCGUUUGGUUUUUUUUCGAAGCAUACAAAUUUGUAACCGCCACAAAAUAAAAAAAAUCUUAUUCAUUUAAUACUUCUUAACAUUCGCCAACCACGUAAGUCCUAACAUAAACAAACUGUUGGAAAAAAAAUCAUAAUUGGAUUCUACAACGUUUAGAUACAGAUGCACAAAAAGCAAUAUUUUAUCCUCCCUAAACCAGUAAACCUCGAGAAUUUAAACCGCGAGAAUAUGUGAUUUUUACAGUAGGGACAUAAAUACAGCAAAUAAUUCUCUGUCAGCGAAUUAUAAAUAGGUAUGAAUUUUUUUUUAAUCAUAAGAAUCAACAGUUUUAUCUAAAAUUUGAUAUUUUUUUUUUCAGGGGAAAUAUGGAAAAGUUUGAGUUUCUAUCUAUAUUUGUUUACAUGUUAUUGAAUUUAGUAUUGCGUGUCGCUUGUGUUUUCUUCAAGUUCCCUGCCCUAUUUUACACUUCCCUGGUUAUUGACAUCCUUUUACUUUUUUGUUUUGGAGUUUACCUGUCAUUUUUGAACUGCCAAAGGGGUAAGAAUUUUAAGAUUGAUCCAUCUUUAAAAUAAUGUUUGCUUGUCCUUUCCUGACACACAGGGUGAAAUUACUUGGUGGUAAGUAGGUGAGAAAAAAAUUACAGAAAAUUUGGACUUAUUUGUUGACGGGAUAAGAGAAUUAAAAAGAAAAAAACAUGUCCUGGAAUGUAAUAAAAAAUUAUGAAGAGCCAUUUUUGGUUAGACGAUUUGGAAAGGGCAACUAAACAAUUUUUUGUAAGAUGACCACAUAGGCAUAUAGAUAAUAUGAAAUCUUAGUUAAAAGCAUAUAGUACAGUGGAGUCGCCAAUUUCGGGUCGUCUCCUUUUCCAGGUCACUCGCGUGUAUUUUAUGCCUAGUGUUAAAAUUUAAGCGUAAAAAACUUAAUGAAUACGCUGAUCGUGAAGAACUGGUCUUUCUCUAUGUAAUUAAUUACACAAUUUUGAAUAUCAACUUUAAGAGAGCAUCCGACAAUCGAAAUUCUGAAACACACGCAUUAAAGACUUGGAAGUUUCUGCUGAGGUGACGGGCUACUUUUGUUUUUGUUCGCUGCCGAAAGGCUGAUGUAAAAGUUCUAGAUGAAUAAAAAGAGCUCAAAAGAAUGGCAAAUGCAUUUAGUUUUAACUCAGAAAUCAAUCAUAAUGAUCAAUGCUCAAAUAAAAUUAGAAUGAUUUUUAAAUCAAACUGUAGUAGUUUCUCCAAUUGUGGGUCACGCAAUCUCGUGGCAUGAAAAUCUCAAAAUUCUAUGUACAAAACCAAUCGACAACUAGGUAUUGACCUUGAUUAUUAAAAGUAUUCUAACUGGGAAAUAUUUUUUCUAAAAAUUAAAAUCGAGUGAACUCUUCAAAUGCAUCUUUUAAAUAAAUGAAUUUGAUUGUAUUAUUUUUAAUCCUAAUACAUUUUUUUACAUUCUGCAUACUGCAAUUUGUUUUGUUGUAAUUGUUUUAAAAAUAAUUUAAACAUAUUUCUGUGAUUGUUUUACUUUUUUCCAAGCUGCAUAAAUUGUUUUAUGUUUCAACAUCAUAAAAAUCGUGUUCUGAAACGUUCCAUGAAUAUCACACAACCGUGAAGACACAUGACCCGGAAAAGGAGAAAAUGAUUCGUAACUGGGAAGCUAGGCCUUGCUGAAAUACCCCUUGUAAAUAUUGUUCCCGUGUAGCUACUUUGAAAAGAAAAGGCGCUUGGAUGACUCAAUAUUUGUUCUUUCAAUACAUAUAUUUCAUAAAAUAUAAAUUGAACAGAUUUGCAAAAUAUCAACUAUACACCCUGACGUGACCCGGAAUUGGCGACUUCACUGUACAUGAAUAUUACAUGAUUUUUUUUUUCUUAUUACCGGUUUAAACUGCUGAACUGUUGCUCUGUGACUGAGAAAAUUCUGAGAAAGAACUACAGGAUACAUAACAAGUUUUGUAAAAACCUUGAUAUAUGGCCGCCGUGUUUUAGUCGCUUGCUUCAAGUAUUAUUUCUUGAAUUGAAUGAUUUCACACAUUCUCAUGUCAUCCCCUGUACAUGUAGCAUUUGAAAUUUUGGCUGUCUGCAGAAGCAUUCUUGUUAUUACAACACAGUCUAGUUUUGAAGAAUAUUCAGGGCUAUAUUAAAAAAUUGUUUGCAAUUGCCAACCAACCCACUAAAAAUGCCUCCGACUCAAACUUUUUUACAGCCAUUAUUUGUUAUUUUGGUUUUUUUUUUUUUUUUUUUUUUUUAACAUGAAGUUUCAAAUUUUUAGGAUGUUGAAACUUUUAUGUCUAUUUUCAAAAUUUUGUUUCUGUCAAUAAGUGGCAUAAAGUAAUUAGCUUUAUUUACCAACAAUAAUCUUAUGAAAAUCUCUGUCUGAGGGGUUUUUAAUCCAACUAAAACUUGAUAUCUAUUUUUAAAAAAAUAAUAUCUAUCUACUGACCCACUCUUAAGAUAAAAGGUCAGCAACUGCAAACAAAAUUUUUUUAAGCUUUGCCCCGUGUAUAAAUAGAAUUAUUUGAUUUAUUGAAAUUCUAUUUUAAUCCCCAAAACAGGAAGUAAUCGAUCACAUGUCACAAACAUUCAAAAUGGAGGACUGUGAUUUGCCAUGUGCAGUUAUUCUAUUUCAUUCUGAUCUUGAUUUCUCUCAAGCAUGUGCAUUUUGCUCUGACAUGGAUAUAGAUGUUUUAGAAACUGAAAUAUAUGGUUAUAGUUGUUUAGUAUUUUUUUUACAAAUGGAAUUUAGUGCAGUUUUGUUUUUUUGCAACCUCAGUGGUUUUUCUAUUAAUAAGUAUAUUCAGCAGUAAAAAAAAGGAAAUUAGUGGAUAUUAAGGUAAGAAUGUAAUUAAUUUUAUUUUUGUUUGGUAUUUCUUUUUCAAAUUAAUUUAAAUUCAUUGGCUCAAUUGAGACAUUCAACAGUAAACCUAGUUUGACUGCCCAGGCCCACUCUGUUAGUCAUUUUAUCCCCGUAAUGACAGACUGACAUGGAACACUCGACAGACUCUGAAUGACACAGAUUUUUAUGGGGAGAGAAAUGGAGGUUUUGCUUUUGAUGAUAUUAGUGACAAGUAUCAUAAUUAUGAUGAUCUUAGGUAUUGGUAUCAUUUUCCUUUUUAUCUUCUUUCGAAAGUGGACAAGUUUUUUCAGAAGGUGGAAUGAACUUAUUCAGUAAUGAAAAGAAACUGAAGAUGCCAGCUCAAACAAGGAGGAAGAGGAAAGAAAAUAGAAAGACUGAAGAAGUUACUUAUGUAAAAGACCAAAUCGUAUAUUGUUUAUGGAGGGGGAUAUGGUGGCCCGGUUCCGUGGAGAGGGUUUUAAAAAACGAUGUGUACCAAAUUUCCUUUUGGAAAGAGGAGGAAAGGUAAA